UAACAAAGUGUAUCUGACCUGUCUUACCUACUAACUGCCCCAUGGCCAGAAGCUUCAUUUGCUGAUUGGCCAAGCUAACACCUAUUGUUAAACUGCAUGCUUUGAUUACACUGCAUACUCUCUCAGCACAUGAACUGACAGAACUGCUCAGACCAGCAAAGGAUAAAGAGAUAAUAUUAAAUCAGAUCAUCUAUGGUGUUGCCAUAAGUGUGGCAGUUGGGAUCCACACCCUUGUAUCACCCACAGGGGUGUAUGAUAUCUAGAUCCUUCAUCACACUCAUCGCAUCGCAAUAAAGACCUCAACCCCGCUCUAAAACGACAUGCACUAAACGGCUACACCAAGACCAAGUGUCAUGCACUGGAAUAUAAGCAGUUUGAUCAUGUCGCCAGCUAAGUCCAUAUCCCACUGAGUAUACAAUGUGUGGAGCCCUUUCUUGGAUUCAACAUCGUAUCUUCCAAAUGAGCAACAGUGCAAUUACGCAGAAUAUUUACAUUCUUUUCCAAAUUAAAAGUUUCCGAUUCCAUUUAUAGCUCACCGGGACUAGGGAGACUUUAAACGGUGUAAACAUAUAGACUGUAUAGUGUCCCGUCAGGACAAAGGGCCGGGGCCCUGUUCCGCGAAGCAAUGUUAACGCUAAGACGUGCGUAAGUCUUUCAGCUCGGCGCGAUAUGGCUGAAAUAGUGCCGAUGUGACGUUAAACGUCAGCUCACUCACUCACGCAAGUCUGUCAAGGGGAUGCACCGUUGGCCCAGCUUGUCUGAGAAUCAGGUUUUCGUUGUGCUGAUUUGCGUCCUUCAGUCGUGCCAGAAACAUGGGAUCGUGGGUUCGAAUGCUGGA